rnacentral:misc_RNA from 1 species
AGAGAGGAGCUUCGGUUGAGGAAA